CGGAAUGUUAAGUCAGUGGUGAAAGCCUGCAGCUCAACUGCAGAACUGCCAUUGAUACUGACAUUCUUGAGUAUUGUUGAGGUAGGCGGAAUGUGUCAUGUAGCGGUGAAAUGCUUAGAUAUGACACAGAACACCGAUCGCGAAGGCAGCUUACCAAGCAAUAACUGACGCUCAUGCACGAAAGCGUGGGGAUCAAACAGGAUUAGAUACCCUGGUAGUCCACGCCGUAAACGAUGAUCACUCGAUGUUGGCGAUACACAGUCAGCGUCUUAGGGAAACUAUUAAGUGAUCCACCUGGGGAGUACGGUCGCAAGAUUGAAACUCAAAGGAAUUGACGGGGGCCCGCACAAGCGGAGGAGCAUGUGGUUUAAUUCGAUGAUACGCGAGGAACCUUACCUGGGCUCGAACGUGGAAUGACAGUCGCGGAAACGUGAUCUUCUUCGGACAUUCUACGAGGUGCUGCAUGGUUGUCGUCAGCUCGUGCCGUGAGGUGUCGGGUUAAGUCCCAUAACGAGCGCAACCCCUAUCUUUAGUUGCCAUCAGGUAAUGCUGGGGACUCUAAAGAAACUGCCUACGCAAGUAGUGAGGAAGGCGGGGAUGACGUCAAAUCAGCACGGCCCUUACGUCCAGGGCUACACACGUGCUACAAUGGCCGGUACAGAGGGCAGCUACCUGGUGACAGGAUGCAAAUCUCCAAAGCCGGUCUCAGUUCGGAUCGAAGUCUGAAACUCGACUUCGUGAAGUUGGAUUCGCUAGUAAUCGCGCAUCAGCCAUGGCGCGGUGAAUACGUUCCCGGGCCUUGUACACACCGCCCGUCAAGCCAUGGAAGCUUGGGGUACCUGAAGUUCGUGACCGACAAGGAGCGAC
rnacentral:rRNA from 1 species